rnacentral:lncRNA from 1 species
UAACAGUAUAUAUUAACCAUAAUUUCAUAUUCUAUUUUAAAAAUAUGUUAUUAGAAAACUAUGAAAUUUGGGAAACUGCCAAAAAUACUAUUUUCAAAGUACCACUUUUCAUGUUUACACUAACCACUUUUACCCUAAUCUUUAAUGAAGGGUAAAAUACAUUAAUAACCUUUUGAUUAACUUUGACAAAAAAAUAACUAAUCUAAACUUAAAACAUCAACUCUAAACCCUAAACGUAAACCCUAAACCCUAAA